rnacentral:rRNA from 1 species
AUUGAACGCUGGCGGCAGGCCUAACACAUGCAAGUCGAGCGAGCGGCGGACGGGUGAGUAAUGUCUGGGAAACUGCAUGAUGGAGGGGGAUAACUACUGGAAACGGUAGCUAAUACCGCAUACCAUCAGAUGUGCCCAGAUGGGAUUAGCUAGUAGGUGGGGGAACGGCUCACCUAGGCGACGAUCCCUAGCUGGUCGAAGAGGAUGACCCGCCACACUGAAACUGAGACACUGUCCAGACUCCUACGGGAUGCAGCAUUGGGUAAUAUUGCACAAUGGGCGCAAGCCUGAUGCAGCCAUGCCGCGUGUGUGAAGAAGUCCUUCGGGUUGUAAAGCACUUUCAGCGGGGAGGCGUUACCCGCAGAAGAAGCACCGGCUAACUCCGUGCCAGCAGCCGCGGUAAUUC